AGCCGCGGUAAUACGGAGGGUCCAAGCGUUAUCCGGAAUCAUUGGGCGUAAAGCGCACGUAGGCGGACAUUUAAGUCAGGGGUGAAAUCCCGAGGCUCAACCUCGGAACUGCCUUUGAUACUGGGUGUCUUGAGUAUGGUAGAGGUUGGUGGAACUGCGAGUGUAGAGGUGAAAUUCGUAGAUAUUCGCAAGAACACCAGUGGCGAAGGCGGCCAACUGGACCAUCACUGACGCUGAGGUGCGAAAGCGUGGGGAGCAAACA
rnacentral:rRNA from 1 species